GCUGGCGUAGCUCAGUAGGCAGAGCAGCUGAUUUGUAAUCAGCAGGUCGUGAGUUCGAAUCCCACCGCCAGCACCA
rnacentral:tRNA from 1 species